CUCGAUGUUCUCAACAUCUCCAGUUGGCCAGGUGUGGUACAUUCCCGCACUCCUAAGGGACUUGUCCCUGUCCCUGUCAAGACAGAAAAGCUGCAAGGGUGUGACCUGCUCGUUCCUACUGCUAUGCCUGAAACAUUUGACAAAGACAGCCCAAGGAGUUCUAACACACGCACCACUGGGACUCCACUGUAUUUACCCACUGGGAUGCUCCACCAAGCUCACCCACUGGGAUGCUCCACCAAGCUCACCCACUGGGAUGCUCCACCAAGCUCACCCACUGGGACGCUCCACCAUGCUCACCCACUGGGAUGCUCCACUGCCUCACCAUGCUCGCCCACUGGGAUGCUCCACCAUCUCCACCAUGCUUGCCCACUGGGAUGCUCCACCACCUCCACCAAGCUCAUCCACUGGGAUGCUCCACUGUCUCACCAUGCUCACCCCCGGGUUGCUCUAUAUGACUUCCCUACUGGGAUGGACUGAAACUUUGAGCAGUAAUAAAUC